CAUGAGAUUUUGCCCAAUCCGCGCCCCGCAUCCCGCACCAGCCACCACCCAAACCCUAGCCCCGUCUCCCCUCGAUCCCCACAGCCUCGCCCGCCUCCUCCAUCCCUCCUCCUCGCCUCGCCACGGCCUCCGCCCCGGAGCCUCGCCGCCGCCUGCGAUUCCCCCCUCCUGCUCGCAGAGCCCAUUGGGCUCGCCAACCCUAGCCCCAAUCCACAUCCCCCGCGCCCCUCACUGGUCCCUCCUCCUCCUUCCCUCGUCCGCCGCCUCGCUCCCUCGCUCUCCUCCCUCGUCGCCGUGGCCUUCGGCCUAGGAGCCCCGCCGCCUACUGCUCCUCCUCCACCACCUCGCCUCUUUCUCCUCCUCGCCUUCCCAUCGCUCGCGCGCAGGUCACCUCCGUCGGAGAACACGGGAGUGCCGGUCUUCAAGUUGGGGUGGUCAGGAGGGCUUCCCAACCUGACGGCGCCUCCUCCUCCUCGCAGCGUCGUCGCGCGUGCACCUUCUUAUCCUCCCUCCUCCCUCCCUCGUCACUACUUCCACCAGUCCCCUCCCUUCCUCGUCCGUGGCCGCUGCUGACCCCUCCUCCGGCCUCCGCGUCUCCGCCCAGGCGGCAAGGCCCCCAGCCCCCCUCGGGCCUCGGCCCCUCCGUACAGCCUGCUUCUGCCUCGUCCAACUCGCUGCUUAGCUCCCAAGGCUCGGAGGGCAGCGUGCACGGCAGGCUCGGCAGGCAGCGGGCGCGGUGGUCAAGGCCAGGGGCGCGGAUUGGGGAGAUGCGCACACGAGGAGCGACGGCGACCGCGUCUGCCGCCAACACCGAGCUCUUCGUUCUUUCAAGCCCUAUGUUGCUUACUCAAAUGUUUGUGGCGAUUGUAUCCUUGUGCCGUGAAUAUUUGUACUUAGCAGAUCAAUAUAAACAUAUUGGCUAUCUAUUUACCAAUUCAGAAUUUAAAGCACUUUAUUUUAUGGCCUUGAGUAAAAGUUCAGUCGUUGUUGGCUAGAAGACAUCUUCAAUACGCCGUCAACACGAGCUUCCCAAGGUAAUGAUCUAAGAGGAAGUGAGUUGGAGAUGAGAUGGGGACAGAAGAUCCUGCAGCGAUGUUGUUUCUUUGUUCUCCUGCUCAAGCUCAGGUGGAUGAGCCCCGUCCUGUGUUAUUCCCCUUGGUUUCUGAAGCUCCCAGGAUUUAAUAAUGAGUUGUCUUGGGCUUCAUUGGACAAAUGAUCUACCUCGAACAAUGAUACAGUGUAGGUUGGCUUGAAGCCUGAUGGCGUUUUUCUUGCAGCAAAUCUUGGCGGGAAGACUCUGAAGUGAUAAUCUUAAAUUUGCCAUUUACCGACAUUUUCCAGUUUCUUGUUUGACUUGCCUUUUCUUGGAUGCGAUGAUAAGGGAACUAAGAAUUGCGUGCACUAUUGCUCAAAUCGAACGUAAGGGAGGCAUCAGUCCUCGAAUGUUGCCUUUAGAACAAGUAUGAUUCCUUUAUAAUCUGAGAUUUUGCCCUUCCAGGAGUUGAUGUAGAUCGAUAUACAGUCAAGUACAAUACUGGCGUGUAUAAAAAAACUUGAAUUUUCCUGGGAUUGAACUUUGAACUAAUAAAUCUAGACUAUGGAGGUAAUGUGCUUUGCAUUAUUAUAGAUUGUAUAUGCUGCUCUUACUUAAUUAUACUUUCUAAUUACAUGCUGCCCCUGUUUCUUUUGCUGUGCUAAAAAUGGGUGCUUACUUUCAAUCUUAUCGCAUCAAUAGACUUGCGGGCGUAUAGUAUUUCUGUAAUCUCUGUGCCUUACCAGUUUUGUGAUUUUAGCUCAGGUGGAUGAGCCCCGUCCUGUGUUAUUCCCCUUGGUUUCUGAAGCUCCCAGGAUUUAAUAAUGAGGUGUCUUGGGCUUCAUUGGACAGAUGAUCUACCUCGAGCAAUGAUACAGGUCGGCGUUGAAGUCUGAUGGCGUUUUUCUUGCAGCAAAUCUUGGCACGAAGACUCUGAAGUGAUAAUCUUAAAUUUGCCAUUUACCAACAUUUUCCAGUUUCUUGUUUGACUUGCAUUUUCUUGGAUGCGAUGAUAAGGGAACUAAGAAUUGCGUGCACUAUUGCUCAAAUGGAACAUAAGGGAGGUAUCAGUCCUCAAAUGUUGCCUCUAGAACAAGUAUGAUUCCUUUAUAAUCUGAGAUUUUGCCCUUCCAGGAGUUGAUGUAGAUCGAUAUACAGUCAAGUACAAUACUGGCGUGUAUAAAAAAACUUGAAUUUUCCUGAUAUUGAACUUUGAACUAAUAAAUCUAGACUAUGGAGGUAAUGUGCUUUGCAUUAUUAUAGAUCGUAUAUGCUGCUCUUACUUAAUUAUACUUUCUAAUUUGCAUAACCUGGUGUGUUCACAUAGAAAUUAGUGUGUUUGCAUAGAGAUCAUAGAUGCUUUCCAUGAUGAUGUGCUGUUUAUUGUCCAAGGACUUGAUAAACUAGCAGAAACCAUACAUGCCAAGUUUCUAAUGACGAAGACUUUACGCUGGUUCAUGUUUGCAUUGGAGCUAAAGUUUUGUUGUUAUUUAGUGUGUUUUGUAUUAUAUCCAAUACCGUUCCGUACUUCCAUUUCUCCUGGAUGAUUAAGAUGAUAUUUUUUCUAACUGAAUUAGUUUGUCCCCUAUUUCAGAAGUAACGCUUAAAAGCCUGAAUAGAAUUCCUUGGGAAAGGGUAGAUGUUAGCUUCAAGAGAAGUAGACAAUGGAUUUUUGCCCAUAGCACCAUUCAGGUAUGUUAUGAACCCCAUUACCUUGGUAAUAGUUUUCCUGGUGUUACUUAAUUAUCCCCUGGUAUAUUCUGUUGUCUCCAUACAUGUUAAUCUGAUAACAUAUACAAAGGCUGUGUAGGUAAUGGCAUAGCAGAUUUUAGUUUCAUGAUCUUACUUAAAUGUAGUUCUGGCGAUAGAUAGCUUUACACUAUCCGUCAUGUGCAUGACUGUCGAAGUACAUCAUCAUUAUGAUGUGUAUGGUUUCUCUAUUUUUAGCCCUACUGCUCCUGUCCCAUGACCAUGCCCCCACCUCUCCUUUGUUGAAUGAAGGGAGUCUGGUUGCUAAAAAGUGAGUUUUCUUAAUCAGUAUGUAUGGCCCCUCUGCACAUGCUGUUUCUUCGUAUUUAUGAGGCCCUCAAGCUUUGUCAGUUUUCUGAUAGAUAUGGAAUUUUAAUUUGAUAGUCCCAACAACGGUGGGUAUUGAUGGAGCUAUCUAUUAUUUAUUGUCAAUCUGUAAUACUUUUGUCAGCUUCUAGCAUGUCGUUGCUCUGCCAGAGUGCAAUUUUCUCUGCAUGGCAUACACCAGUUACCAUUAGUUGAUAUGUUUGUUGAAGUUUUAUUGCAAGUUAAAUAAAUGUGGUGUGGCAUACUGAUUAUUAUAGUUUGAUAAUGUCAGGCGCCGAUGGCUUUAGAUAUGUAAAUAAAAUAUGGUGAUUGUCACCGGCAUGUAGUGUGGCAUACUAAUCAAAUGACUAAGCAUUUAAUUAUUGUUCUGUUAUGUUAUUGAUUUCACCGGCUUUAUGUCGGCCGAUUAGUUCUGAAGGAUUCCACAUCGGCUAAUUUAGAUUAUGUUACUAGAGUAUUAGAAGAAGUUCCUGAUAUAUGUAUUUAGAGCAUUUGCUGAGAUUUGAUGCAAAAUAUUGAUGACCAGGCAUUAUACUGCGCAUAAGCACAAUUUUUUAGUUUUUCUUUUUAUUGUUGCAGCAGCUUUUCUAGCAAUAGCCAAAUAGUGUGACAUAACACUAUUCCAUUUUCACAGGCCAUAACACAUCUUUACAUGUAAGUUUGUUCUCUAGAUAGUUCUCUUUCCAAGAUUUUCAUAUCAUAUUUGUUGUGGGAUCUGACUGCUUUACCAUAUUUUCCUGGUGUGGACGAUGUUAUAGAGUGAGCUACCAUCACUUCUCAUUACUGACUGUAAUCUAUGUGUUUAUGCCAUAAAAGAUGGAUAUUUGUCGAAGCCAUUGUCGUGUCAUGUAAUUACCUGGAGAUCAGCUAUUUAGUUUUGUUCAGAUUGUAAAGUGGAAAUGACAACUCCCGUGUGAUUGUCAUUUGAUUAUUUACUUCCUCAAGUAGUAUGGAUAUGGUGCUGCCAGGAUAUUAAGUAUAUUCAUGAAGUUGUAUAAACCACGUUCUACGAUUCACUUCUGUUAUGCAUUUUUACUUUCCAGUUUUAGGACUGAAAUCCAUCCAUUGUAAUGAACUUGGUUGUAUGGGCAUUUACCUAUUUGACUUAGGCUUGCUUCAUCACAUAUAGACUGCUUUUCUUUUC